GAUGAACGCUGGCGGCGUGCCUAAUACAUGCAAGUCGAGCGAAUGGAUUAAGAGCUUGCUCUUAUGAAGUUAGCGGCGGACGGGUGAGUAACACGUGGGUAACCUGCCCAUAAGACUGGGAUAACUCCGGGAAACCGGGGCUAAUACCGGAUAACAUUUUGAACCGCAUGGUUCGAAAUUGAAAGGCGGCUUCGGCUGUCACUUAUGGAUGGACCCGCGUCGCAUUAGCUAGUUGGUGAGGUAACGGCUCACCAAGGCAACGAUGCGUAGCCGACCUGGGAGGGGGAUCGGCCACACUGGGACUGGGACACGGGCCAGACUCCGGCGGGAGGCAGCAGUAGGGAAUCUUCCGCAAUGGACGAAAGUCUGACGGAGCAACGCCGCGUGAGUGAUGAAGGCUUUCGGGUCGUAAAACUCUGUUGUUAGGGAAGAACAAGUGCUAGUUGAAUAAGCUGGCACCUUGACGGUACCUAACCAGAAAGCCACGGCUAACUACGUGCCAGCCGCCGCGGUAA
rnacentral:rRNA from 1 species